UACGGAGGGGGCGAGCGUUAUUCGGAAUUAUUGGGCGUAAAGGGCGCGUAGGCGGCUGUACAAGUCAAAGGUGAAAUCCCUCGGCUCAACUGAGGAACUGCCUUUGAAACUGUACGGCUUGAGGCCGGGAGGGGGUAGCGGAAUUCCCAGUGUAGCGGUGAAAUGCGCAGAUAUCGGGAGGAACACCGGUGGCGAAGGCGGUUCUCUGGGCCUUACCUGACGCUGAGGAGCGAAAGCGUGGGAGGCGA
rnacentral:rRNA from 1 species